AUUUGUGAGGUCUGAUUUUUUUCAAUGAGGCCUUUUGUGAUGCAAAUAUUUACUCUUCUGAAGGCAUAUUGUUUUGAGAAGCCAACUUCUUACUUGUGAAACACCAGCGACUACCUGGAACUACGUUCUUCACCACCAAAAUCUGACCAGAACUGGACUUUGGAGACCAAGUGGGGGGGGAAUAUAUUGAUGGCGAGUUUACCGCGGGGGGGGACGUGUCCUUCACCGAUUCCCAUCCCAUCCUUGCGGUCAUCCAAUCAUCAGUCAGAACUCAGCCAGGACGCAUCCAUAGUAUCAUAGAAAGAUGCCAUCUGAUUGGAUUAUUGGACUACACUUGGCACCAGUAAAAACCUUCAUUUGGGCCAAGGAUCGUCCCGUUUUGUCAGACAGCCAAUCGGAUCCUCUGACUCAGGCUUCAAGUCCCCUCUUUGGACUCCCACAGGGUCUACAAAUGAGGGUCAAGAGGGGAAGUGCCUGGACCGGCAGCUCAUUAAUUGUCAUUUUCGAAGGACAGAGAGUCAAAACACAGCUCUGUGUGCUCAGGCGUAGGCUUUCCAAAUAAGAGGAGGAGAUUGUAUGCUUGUACUGGAACAUGGUAGACCUUAUGUAAUGAGUUGUUUUUCCUGUCUCAAGGCACAUUUUUCAUAGCAGGCGUAAU